GCAGGCGGCAGCACCACUGAGCUAAAUCUUCGGCCCCUAGGUGAGUUUUGUUUGAAACAGGAUCUCAUUGUGUAUUCCAGAUUGGCCUUGAACUCACUAUGUAGCCCAGCCUGGCCUGGGAUUCAUGGAAAUCCUCAUGCCUCAGCCUCCUGAGGACAACAGACAUGUGUGACCAUGCCUGGUUGAGGUGACUUCCUUACUCUAAUCAAAGUAGUGGAAGUAAAGCCACAGAAGGUAAGUCUCCUGGGUCAGCUUUCAAAGGUGUCUCUUUAGAGUUUCAUUCAUUAUUCCAACCAUUCCUGAUGAUUACUGGGAUUAGAGGCAUGCACCACUAUGCCUGCCCAUCUGGGAAUGAUUUCUGAGACCAGGACUUUUACUACUUCCUGUACCUUUUCUGGUCGGCAAGAGAAAGCUUCAACCCAGUUGAUAAACGUGUCUACCCAGACCAAGUAUUGAAUCCCAUUAUUCUUGGGCAUGUGAGUGAAAUUGGGUUGCCAGACUGCCCCAGGGUACCCUACCAUCCCUCUACACUGGGGAGAACUAUAAUCCUAGUGAGGGGACUAUGUUUUUGGCAGGCUUCUCAGGUCUUGACCACCUAUUGAAUAGGUGAACAUCUAUUUUCCCAGGAAUAAUUUCUGUCCUGCCUGAUUCAUUUUAUUCUUUCCUAAGUUCCAUGCUUGGUGAAAGGUUUUAAUAACCUUGCACUGGUUGGCAGUUGGAAGAGUUUUCUAUCACCGGUUUUCUAUCUCUUAAAGUUUACAUUUCUAUGGCUUUUAGUAUAAUUGCAGAGUUGUACAGCCAUCACCAUCACCAAUUCCAGAACAUUCCAUCAACCCAAAAGGAAGCCCCAUCAGUCCCUAUGAGCAGUCAUUUUGUCCCCUCCCCAUCCCCCAGCACCCAAGACUCCACUUCCUGUCUCUGGAUUCUCCUGGCCUGGACGUUUCCUGUCCAUGGAGUCCCACGCUGUGUGUCUUUCUGUAUCUGGCAUCUCACUGGAGCACAGGAUCCUCAGAGUCUCUCCACACUUGGUCCACACUUAGGAGCAGAGGUGCUGGGUCAGGCGGUGACUCUCUUUACCCUUUGGAGGAGCUGCUGGCCUGUUCCAAGGCAGCCACGCCAUUUCACAUCCUGCACUGCCUGCACGGUUUGGAUUCCUCCAGCCCGUGCUCACAUGAGUGCUUGGCUGUCUCUCUUGCUAGGGAUGGGUGUGGGAGGCCUGGUGUUAAUUGUCCCCUGGGCUUUGAAUGUGGCUGUAGCAGCAGCUGAUGGCCUUGGAGGGUGGGCUCAUGCUCGCCUCUGGGGACUGCACUGAGCAGGGGUCAGGAGCCUGUGCCCGGCCAGUGGCCAGCCCAGGAGAUGCCAGCACCCCCUCCCCUGCCGUGGAGAGGCUCAGCCCCUGGAGUGAACAGGCUGGGGGGAUGGGGGCUAGGCCUGGUCACAGGCUGCCUCAGGAGUGUGGACCCCAGUGGAUCAGCCAGAGACAGC
rnacentral:lncRNA from 1 species